CUUGGAGUGGAGGGGCACGGGCGUCGUUGGGCUCCAGUUCCAGUCUCAGGACAUGGUCCUCACUCAUCAUUGCUGCCAUCUGAGGGGCCAUGAGACAGACACAGAGCUCAGCCAGAUUACACAAAAAAUCAUUUGAGGGAAGUGAGAAUGUUCAAAGCAACCUGCAUCGCGUGAGACACAUGUGGACAUUCCAUUAUAUCUAAAGACUGUUGGUGAGAAAAGGAUACAGUUAAUAGAAUCACACCAUGUGGAAUUAGUCUGAAAUCUCAAGAUGAUCAACGUAGAUGGCAUAAACAGUGUGUAGUUGCAAGACUCUUGGGUAUCUGUUCUUUUCCUCUUUAUAUUUUUCCCUUCCUGAGUUCAGCAAAAAUGGACUAAUUGUACCAGAGGACAAGACAUGAUUCUGUAUGGUUGAUAAGCUGUGAAAAAACGAGUUAAUGUAAAGAGGCUAUUCUCACCGACCAAAAAAUACAUAUAGGCCAAGAACUAAUACUUUUUAGGUGCUUCUGUUGUGUAAUAUUUUAGACUUGGGGUUUUGCCUUUUUGGCAUUGAGUUAUUAAUUCUAUUCCACAUACCAGUGCAUAUCAUCUCAAAAGAAAUGCGAAGAAUUUUCCUAUUAUUUAGUUAUGUGGAUUUAUGAUGGUUGAAGUGUUUUAAU